CCCGCUGAACUUAAGCAUAUCAAUAAGCGGAGGAAAAGAAACUAACAAGGAUUCCCCUAGUAACUGCGAGUGAAGAGGGAGAAGCUCAAAUUUGAAAUCUGGCAGUCUUUGGCUGUCCGAGUUGUAAUUUAGAGAAGUGUUACCCGCGUUGGACCGUGUACAAGUCUCCUGGAAUGGAGCGUCAUAGAGGGUGAGAAUCCCGUCUUUGACACGGACUGCCAGUGCUUUGUGGUGCGCUCUCGAAGAGUCGAGUUGUUUGGGAAUGCAGCUCUAAAUGGGUGGUAAAUUCCAUCUAAAGCUAAAUAUUGGCGAGAGACCGAUAGCGAACAAGUACCGUGAGGGAAAGAUGAAAAGAACUUUGGAAAGAGAGUUAAACAGUACGUGAAAUUGCUGAAAGGGAAACGCUUGAAGUCAGUCGCGUUGGCCAGGGAUCAGCCUUCCUCUCGGUUGGUGUACUUCCUGGUUAACGGGUCAGCAUCAGUUUUGACCGUUGGAUAAAGUCUAGGGGAAUGUGGCAUCUUCGGGUGUGUUAUAGCCUUUAGUCGUAUACAACGGUUGGGACUGAGGAACUCAGCACGCCGCAAGGCCGGGUCUUUGACCACGUUCGUGCUUAGGAUGCUGGCAUAAUGGCUUUAAUCGACCCGUCUUGAAACACGG
rnacentral:rRNA from 1 species